AAUUAACACGUUCGCCUUUAAUUCUGGGCCAUUUUCUACUCCAGUUUUCACUUGUACCAUCUCUACAGCACCUGCACAUGCUCAGGAACAUCAUUUCAAAGGAUACGGGGAAAAGAGAUGUCACAUGAACACGUCUUAGAAUUUACACUGUAAAUCAAACAAUGUUGCUGCAAAGGCAUGUAAGUUAAUAUAGAAACAAUGGAAGAAUGUAAAGAAAACUCAGAGACAGGGAAGAAAGCCAGGAUAGGCUCCAAGAUCAGCUGGAUGAGAUCACAACAUGUGACCCUCACAGAUGAUAGAUCAAGAAAAUGGGAAGAGCUUCAAAGCCCUGAAACCAUA